CCAGACUCCUACGGGAGGCAGCAGUGGGGAAUAUUGCACAAUGGGGGAAACCCUGAUGCAGCGACGCCGCGUGAGUGAAGAAGUAUCUCGGUACGUAAAGCUCUAUCAGCAGGGAAGAAAAAAUGACGGUACCUGACUAAGAAGCACCGGCUAAAUACGUGCCAGCAGCCGCGGUAAUACGUAUGGUGCAAGCGUUAUCCGGAUUUACUGGGUGUAAAGGGAGCGCAGGCGGUACGGCAAGUCUGAUGUGAAAGCCCGGGGCUCAACCCCGGUACUGCAUUGGAAACUACCGGACUGGAGUGUCGGAGGGGUAAGUGGAAUUCCUAGUGUAGCGGUGAAAUGCGUAGAUAUUAGGAGGAACACCAGUGGCGAAGGCGGCUUACUGGACGAUCACUGACGCUGAGGCUCGAAAGCGUGGGGAGCAAACAGGAUUAGAUACCCCAGUAC
rnacentral:rRNA from 1 species